AUGACCUUUAUCUUGGUCCCUCCUUAGUCACUCAGAUAUAAGGAUGGAGACCCCUGCAAGCUCCUAGAACCUUGUCAACAUAAUGGCGGUGAAAAACUGAAAAAAAUGGCGGUCUACAACACACAGAAUUGGAGCACGGCUUCAGGGGAUUUGCAGAAAGAAGCUAAUGAUACAUUGCAAGGUGAAGGUAAUUGAAGAUGUCAUUGGAUGCUAUCAAGAUAAGGGAAAUUGUUGCUCAAAUCUCAAAUUGCUCUUUUAAUAAAAAACCCGGAGCCAGGUA